rnacentral:rRNA from 1 species
GACGAACGCUGGCGGCGUGCUUAACACAUGCAAGUCGAACGGAAAGGCCCUGCUUUUGUGGGGUGCUCGAGUGGCGAACGGGUGAGUAACACGUGAGUAACCUGCCCUUGACUUUGGGAUAACUUCAGGAAACUGGGGCUAAUACCGGAUAGGAGCUCCUGCUGCAUGGUGGGGGUUGGAAAGUUUCGGCGGUUGGGGAUGGACUCGCGGCUUAUCCGCUUGUUGGUGGGGUAGCGGCUUACCAAGGCUUUGACGGGUAGCCGGCCUGAGAGGGUGACCGGCCACAAUGGGACUGAGGGACGGCGCAGACUCCUACGGGAGGCAGCAGGGGGGAAUAUUGCACAAUGGGCGGAAGCCUGAUGCAGCAGCGCCGCGUGCGGGAUGACGGCCUUCGGGUUGUAAACCGCUUUCGCCGGUGACGAAGCGUGAGUGACGGUAAUGGGUAAAGAAGCACCGGCUAACUACGUG